AGAGUUUGAUCCUGGCUCAGGAUGAACGCUAGCGGCAGGCUUAACACAUGCAAGUCGAGGGGUAACAUGAGUGCUUGCACUUGAUGACGACCGGCGCACGGGUGCGUAACGCGUAUAGAACCNACAGGGGGAUAGCCUUUAGAAAUGAAGAAUAAUACCCCAUAGUAUAUAAAUAUCGCAUGAUAAUUAUAUUAAAGAUUUAUUGGUAAAAGAUGAGUAUGCGUUCUAUUAGCUAGAUGGUAAGGUAACGGCUUACCAUGGCAACGAUAGAUAGGGGCCCUGAGAGGGGGAUCCCCCACACUGGUACUGAGACACGGACCAGACUCCUACGGGAGGCAGCAGUGAGGAAUAUUGGACAAUGGAGGCAACUCUGAUCCAGCCAUGCCGCGUGUAGGAAGACUGCCCUAUGGGUUGUAAACUACUUUUAUAGAGGAAGAAACCGCGAUAUGUAUAUCGCUCUGACGGUACUCUACGAAUAAGGAUCGGCUAACUCCGUGCCAGCAGCCGCGGUAAUACGGAGGAUCCAAGCGUUAUCCGGAAUCAUUGGGUUUAAAGGGUCCGUAGGUGGACAAUUAAGUCAGAGGUGAAAGUUUGCCGCUUAACGGUAAAAUUGCCUUUGAUACUGGUUGUCUUGAAUCAUUAUGAAGUGGUUAGAAUAUGUAGUGUAGCGGUGAAAUGCAUAGAUAUUACAUAGAAUACCAAUUGCGAAGGCAGAUCACUAAUAAUGUAUUGACACUGAUGGACNAGCGAACAGGAUUAGAUACCCUGGUAGUCCACGCCGUAAACGAUGGUUACUAGCUGUUCGGACUUCGGUCUGAGUGGCUAAGCGAAAGUGAUAAGUAACCCACCUGGGGAGUACGUUCGCAAGAAUGAAACUCAAAGGAAUUAGGAAUUGACGGGGGCCCGGCACAAGCGGUGUGGAGCAUGUGGGUUUAAUUCGAUGAUACGCGAGGAAAGCUUACCAGGGCUUAAAAUGUAUAAUGACAGGUUUAGAGAUAACUUUUUACUUCGGACAUAUUACAAGGUUGCUGCAAUGGUUGUCGCCAGCUCGUGCCGUGAUGGUGUCAGGUUAAGUCCCUAUAACGAGCGCAACCCUGUUGUUAGUGCCAUUGCGAGUAAUGUCGGGAAACUCUAGCAAGACUGCGUGCAAACCGCGAAGGAAGGUGGGAUGGACGUCAAAUCAUCACGGCCCUUACGUCCUGGGCACCCCACACGUGCUACAAUGGUAUGUACAGAGAGAGCACCUGGGUGACCAGAGCGAAUCUAUAAAGCCUAUCACGUUCGGAUCGGAGUCUGCCAACUCGACUCCGUGAAGCUAGGAAUCGCUAGUAAUCGGAUAUCAGCCAUGAAUCGGUGAAUACGUUCCC
rnacentral:rRNA from 1 species